rnacentral:rRNA from 1 species
GGCUACACACGUGCUACAAUGGGUAGAACAGAGAGUCGCAAAGCUGUGAAGUGGAGCUAGUCUCAGAAAACUAUUCUUAGUUCGGAUUGUACUCUGCAACUCGAGUACAUGAAGUUGGAAUCGCUAGUAAUCGCGAAUCAGCAAUGUCGCGGUGAAUACGUUCUCGGGUCUUGUACACACCGCCCGUCACACCACGAGAGUUGGUUGCACCUGAAGUAGCAGGCCUAACCGUAAGGAGGGAUGCUCCGAGGGUGUGAUUAGCGAUUGGGGUGAAGUCGUAACAAGGUAUCCGUACGGGAACGU